rnacentral:rRNA from 1 species
UAGGGAAUCUUCGGCAAUGGGGGGAACCCUGACCGAGCAACGCCGCGUGAGUGAAGAAGGUUUUCGGAUCGUAAAGCUCUGUUGUUAAGGAAGAACGAGUGUGAGAAUGGAAAGUUCAUACUGUGACGGUACUUAACCAGAAAGGGACGGCUAACUACGUGCCCGCAGCCGCGGUAAUACGUAGGUCCCGAGCGUUGUCCGGAUUUAUUGGGCGUAAAGCGAGCGCAGGCGGUUAGAUAAGUCUGAAGUUAAAGGCAGUGGCUCAACCAUUGUAGGCUUUGGAAACUGUUUAACGUGAGUGCAGAAGGGGAGAGUGGGAGUGCAUGUGUAGCGGUGAAAUGCGUAGAUAUAUGAAGGGACACCUGUGGCAAAUGCGGCUCUCUGGUCGGUAACUAUCGCUGAGGCUCGAAAGCGUGGGGAGCGAACAGG